rnacentral:misc_RNA from 1 species
GAUGAAGAACGUAGCGAAAUGCGAUAAGUAAUGUGAAUUGCAGAAUUCAGUGAAUCAUCGAAUCUUUGAACGCACCUUGCGCCCUUUGGGUAUUCCGAAGGGCAUGCCUGUUUCAGUAUCAUGAACACCUCAACUCUCAUGGUUUGCCAUGAUGAGCUUGGACUCUGGGGGUCUUGCUGGCCUAUGGUCAGCUCCUCUCAAAUAAAUCAGCUUGCCAGUGUUUGGUGGCAUCACAGGUGUGAUAACUAUCUACGCUUGUGGUUUUCCAUCAGGUAACCUUCAGUGAUGGAGGUUCGCUGGAGCUCAUAAAUGUCCCUCCUCAGCGAGGACAGCUUUUUGAACGUUUGAUCUCAAAUCAGGUAGGACUACCCGCUGAACUUAAGCAUAUCAAUAAGCGGAGGA